rnacentral:rRNA from 1 species
CACGUAGGGGACGAGCGUUGUCCGGAUUCAUUGGGCGUAAAGCGCGCGUAGGCGGCUCGGAAAGUCGGUCGUGAAAUGCCGGGGCUCAACCCCGGGACUGCGUCCGAUACUCUCGAGCUGGAGGCAGGUAGGGGAGAUCGGAAUUCCUGGUGUAGCGGUGAAAUGCGCAGAUAUCAGGAGGAACACCAAUUGCGAAGGCAGCUCGCUGGGACGUUACUGACGCUGAGACGCGAAAGCGUGGGGAGCAAACAGG